rnacentral:lncRNA from 1 species
AUGUGCUCCACUAAUCACAGUGGAACUUCUCCAAGCCCGGGUGGGCUGGGCUGCAUCAUGCAAUGUUUUCUUUACAAAAUCCUGCAUGCAGCAACUUUUGUAGCCAGAUUUGCAGACCCCCCUCCUCAAGCCCGCUGCAACCCAUUCGCCUCCUGGAGGGAGCUCAUCAGAUUUUGUUCAGGACUGCUUUGUCCUCCCUUGCCAUAUUUCUCCUCUGUCUUCUCAAAGGACAGGGAGAAGGUGAGAGAGAAUGAGGAGCCAGUCUCAAGGCAGCCCAAGGUAACUCAGAGGGAUGGAAGACCACGAGUGUCGAUGAAGCCAGGGCCCCUCCCUUGCCCAACCUUUGUAACCCUUUCUUUGGCGCCUGUAAUCUCCUGUCCUUCUGGAAAACAGGUAAGCUAAAACUGUUAACUGUGGAAUGCAAGGGCACCGCUCGGAGAGAGAAGGGAGGAGGGAAAGGGGA